UACGGAGGGUGCGAGCGUUGUCCGGAAUCAUUGGGCGGAAAGAGCGUGUAGGCGGUCCGGUAAGUCCGCUGUGAAAGUCGGGGGCUCAACCCUCGAAUGCCGGUGGAUACUGUCGGGCUAGAGUGCGGAAGAGGCGAGUGGAAUUCCUGGUGUAGCGGUGAAAUGCGUAGAGAUCAGGAAGAACACCGGUGGCGAAAGCGCUCUGCUGGACCUUAACUGACACUGAGGGACGAAAGCUAGGGGAGCGAAUGGG
rnacentral:rRNA from 1 species